rnacentral:lncRNA from 1 species
GAAUAAUUAAUUACUAAUUUUGUAGCAAAUUAAUUAUUGUAAUUAAGAUGUCAAUUCAAUGAAUUAAAAGAUUUAUUUCUUUAUUAGAAUAAUUGAUUGAGAUCUAAUAAGUCAAUUCAAUGAAUUAUAAGAUUUAUUCCUUUAUUAAAAUAAUUGAUUGAGAUCUAAUAAGUCAAUUCAAUAGAUUAAUUAUUAUGUAUCAACCAAUUUCCGAAUUUUCCGUUUGAAUGGGAUCUGGAAAUUACUCCUUGAGGAGUCCAAAUGGAGGUAUAAUAAACCUCUUGGAGGUCAACCAAAUUAU